rnacentral:rRNA from 1 species
AUUGAACGUUGGCGGCAGGCUCAACACAUGCAAGUCGAACGAGCGGCGGACGGGUGAGUAAUGCCUGGGAAUCUAGCUUACGGAGGGGGACAACUACGGGAAACGGUAGCUAAUACCGCGUACCAUCGGAUGAGCCCAAGUGGGAAUAGGUAGUUGGUGAGGUAAAGGCACACCAAGCCGACGAGCUCUAGCUGGUCUGAGUGGAUGACCAUCCACACAGAGACUGAGCAACGGCCCAAACUCCGACGGCAGGCAGCAGUGGGGAAUAUUGCGCAAUGGGGGCAACCUGACGCAGCCCUGCCGCUUGGAUGAAGAAGGCCUUCGGGUUGUAAAGUUCUUUCGGUAGCGAGGCGUUAACUACAGGAGAAACACCGGGUAGCUCCGUGCCAGCCGCCGCGGUAAUAC